UGGGGAUGUGGGAAAAUUAGAAGCCUUGCACAUGGCCGAUGGGAAUGUAACAUGAAGCUGUGCUGUGGAAAACAGUCUGGAGUUUCCUUAAAAUGGUGAUGAGAAUGUUUUGGUACCAGAUAGAGGCGGUUACACAGCGCUGAUGAGGUACCAAACGCCCCUGGAAGAUUGAUGUUAUGCUAUAUAAAUUUCACCUCCAUUAAAAAAGAAACAAACAAAAAACUAACAUCUGUGGAAUGUCCUAGUGAUAGCAGAAACAGAAUCUGGAGAAACAGUGACUCACUCAGGUUUCCAGACAGACGACCAUGGAUACAAGUAGCCAUAACAAAUCUGAUGAAUUCGCCGCCCAAGUGAGCAAAAGAAGGAGUGCCAGCCUCUAUGCUGCCAGAAACCCCGUGUCCACACGUUUCUUGGUAGACAUCCCUAAAUAUCAUAGCAGGGCAAAGCAGCUUUGAAAUCUGAAACCACUACUCAACAAUCAACGUGCUGGAAACAGUCUGCAUCCCUUUCUGUUCCCAAGGUUGGGCCGAGGGAAAUGCUACGUUCAGAAAAGAUGAGCGUGUCAAAACCCCCGGUGAUUUCUAACGCUUGUGGAACACAUUGCAUAGGAGCAAUUUAGGUGACAAAGAGAGCACCCUUCAGUCCAGAUUUACACUGUGUUCCUAUUCACCGACACAUCAGCAAACAUUAUAAAUGCCUUGCCUGGGUAAUGAAUGGCUUCU